ensembl:sense_intronic Gm43166 predicted gene 43166
UAUGUUUCCAGGGGUAGCACUUUUACUGUAUAUUUGACCUCUGACUUAAAAUAAAAAUAGCCUGCUCUAGUUUCAUCUCUGUUGCUGUGAUAAAAUACCCUAAUUAGGGAAGAAAUGGUUUAUUUCAGCUCACAAUUACAGUUAUGGUGGGAAAUUUAAGUCAAGUUAAAACAUUACAUCCACAGUAGGGAAAGAAUGAACACUUGCAUCCUUGCUUACUUCAUCUCAGCUGGCUUUCUCUUAUGUUCAUAGUACAUCACAACCUCUUACCUAGGGAAUGGUGCCACCCACAAUGGGCUGAUCCUCCUACAUCAAUUAACAAUCCAGACAAUCCUUUACAGACAUGCCAGAAGACUAACCUGAUUUAGAUAAUUCCUCACUAAGACCUUUUUAUUUUAUUUUUUUUUAAACUUGCACAGUCUUAUUCAUACCAUGACUCUGAAGGAGUUUAAAUCAGCCCUGGCUGAUUUGUGGUGAAUGUAGCCCCACCCUGCACAUAGAACAGCUGGGGAUUGAACUCAGGUCAUCAGUCUUAGUACCAAGACCUUUUGCAAUGAACUGUCUCACAAGUCCCCUCCAUUGCCUUUGUAGAUUUGGGUCAUUGUGGUUUGAAUGAAAAUGGCCCCCAUAGACUCAUAGGAAGUGGCAUUAUUGAAAGUGUGGCCUAGUUGGAGAAAAUGUGUUACAGGGGGUGGGUUUUGAAAUUUCAGACACACAAGCCAAGCCCAAUGUCACUCUCUCUUUGUGCUAAUUCUGGAUACAGAUAUCGAACUCUCAGGCACCAUGUCUGCCUGGAUGCUGCCAUGCUUUCCACCAUGCUGAUAACGGACUGAACCUCUGAAUUGUAAGCCACAGUCCCUAGUGUGAUUUCUUUAGUGGGUAAAUUUGUGUGUUUCUGGAGGAAGAGGAGUUCUAUGACUUUGGGUCUUACUUUUUAGGAGUCCAAAGUUCUCUCGUUUAUUUCUCCAUCCCUACCGUGUGUUCAAGGUCUGCCUUUUCUGUCAUCUUGUCUUUUCUCUCAAUGCAAGGCCUGUAAUUAUGCUUAUUUACAGGCCAUCCGUAUUACAGGUACUUGAUGUACCAGGGAACAUUUUUCCCCCACUUUGUCACACCUGAACUGGAAUUUCCUAGUGGUUAUUAUUAUUUUUAACCAUCCUGGCUUCUUGCCAGCUUCCUUCUUUGUUCCAUGCAGGGUUUCCCUAUCUGCCCUUUCUGGGUGGAAGCUGACAAGGAAGGAGGGGGAAAUGAACAGUCACUGGUUGGCCAUGAUUAUUUUUCAACAUAAGCAUGAGGUUUAAGGGAGUCUCCAUUUUAAAAAUCACAGAGUUGUAGUUUUAUGUGGUUUGGGGUGCUUUUUUAAAAAUAACUAUAGAAUGCAUUGAAUUUGUGGACUAGCAAAUUUUCAUUAUUGCUUUUUGAAAAAACAAAAUAAUUUCUUUGUACACACACACACACACACACACACACACACACACACACAAUCUGCUCAGUCUGUAGAGUGGAACUUGUAUGUGUUUACACGACUAACCAUUUGGUAUCAGAUAACCCAUUUGAUAUGCUCUUCCCUGGGGAAGAUUGCUUCUCCCACUUAGCUUUCUUUACUUGCCUGUAGUCCUUUGCAUUGGAUCCAUGCCUUGUAGUCUUUCUCCUGUCCACAUGAGUGUAUCUAUUGUUCUUGUCUUUGCUCAGCUCACAUGAAGGCAGUCACGUUGAUGAGAGUUUGUGGGUAUAGCUUCUGACAUUACUAAGAGACACAGCAUCACAGCAAACUCCCUACCCCUCUGGCUCAUGCAGUCUUUCCAUCCCCUCUCCCGUGAUGUUCCCUGAGCCUUGGGUACAGGAGUCAACUUAUAGAUGUAUCCAUUAAGACUGGGUUCCUCAGCUCAAUGUUUUGAUGACUGUGGGUUUCUGUAGUUGUCUCUGUUGCAAAGAGGUGUUUUCUUCAUGAGGAGUGAGGAUUACACUUAUCUGUCAGUACAGGCCAAAUAUUUAGAAUGUGUUUAGGGAUAAUGCUAGUUUAGCAAUGUGGCAGUUGUAGGUUCUCCCCCAAGGCCCAUGAUUUCACUAGUCUGGAUACUUGGCUAGGUUUCUUUUGUGUUGAAGGGGCCUUAAAUCCAAUUACAGAGCUGUUGGUUAACACCAAAGUCCUUUUAUUUUUAACUAUGUGAAUUUAUCUUUAUUUAUGCCACAUGCAGUCGAGUGGAGUCACAUGGAGGCCAGAGAACGUAUCAGAUUGUCUGGACCUGAAGUUACAGGCGAUUGUGAGCUGCCUACUGUGGGUGCUGGGAGCUGAUUAUGGGUCCUCUGGAAGAACAAUAAUCACUCUUAACCACUGAGCCAUAUGUUCAGCCACUGUCAUUCAUUAAUAUGUGCAUUCAAAAAGAACAUAUUGAUCACUAGUAGAACACACUAGAAACAGUAGCUGCUUCCUGAUUUCAGUGAUUGGCCAAUAGCAAGUUUUUAACCCCACUCCCAUUAUCUCCCUCAUCUCUAUCUAUAACUCUCUAUGCAAUAUAUAAUAUAUAGUAUAUAAUAUAAUAUAUACUGUAAUUUACAAGUGUGUGAGUAUGUGUGUGUGUGUAAUUUACACUUUUCUAUUAGGCACAGAGACACUGGCAGUCUAAUGUGUGAAGCUCUUCAGUGCCUGCAAUGGCACACAGUUCAGGAUGGCUUUAUGUCUUUAGUACUUGCAAAAGUGAGGAGUGUUGCACAUCUGCAUUCCCUGAGAAGUGGGAGGUAAAUAAUUACUUGUGUGUACAGGUGUACAUGCACACGUGUGCAUCUAGAAGCCAGAAGACAAGCUUGGGUAUCAUUCCUCAGGGUGGUGUUCGACUUGGUUUUGUUUUUGAGACAGCAUCCCACUGUCCUGGAAUGGGCCACAUAGGCUAAUCUAGCUGAAUAGUGAGACCUAGAUAUUCAUCUGCUUCCACCUCCCCAAUACUGGGAUUACAUGUGUGUGCUAAGAUAAUGGCUUUUUAACAUGGGUCUGGAGAUCCAACUCCCAAGGACAGCUUUGAACUCCUGCAUCUGCCGCCCCAGUGAUGGGAUCAAAAGCAUGGAGCCAGUGCAUGUGGCACUGGAGAUGGAACCAGAGACUCAAACACAUCAGGCAACCUCUCUACUACCUGAACUGCAUCCCUAGACCUUCUGCCAUCUUUCCUUUCAUUCCCCCGCACACACACCCUAUUCUUAGAAAUUCUUACAAGGUCUCUUGUAGUCCAAGCUGGCCCCAAACUUUCUAUAUGGCCGAGGGUGACUUUGAGCUCUUGAUCCUCCUGCUUCCACCUCCCAAAUGUUAGGUCACAGGCGUGUGUCACCAUGCCCCACUGGAGCAGUUCAAUUUAAACAUGGGGGAUCACAGGGAGCCUUUAUACAACUGCUUCGAUAUCAGAUUACACUCUGUAGGUUAAUGUCAGCGCCCUGUGGUUUGUAUUGUGUUUGGUCACACUGUAUGAAAUUGCUGAUCCUUGUCCAGAAAUGACAAUUUCAUUCAAUACAGUCUACCACAUCCAUCCUUUGAAAUUUUUCCCCUGUACCAUUGAGCUAGUGGCUUCAUUAAUGAGAACAGUCAGGUAACCACACUCUUUCUCAUCAUUAUGAGUGAAUUAUUUAUUUAGUUUCAGCUUGUCAGGUUUUUUUUUUUCCCUUACAGAAGUUCUUAUGUCCUGAGGCCAAGUGAAUUAUUCACACUUAACUGAAAGAUCAGUUGUGGUUUUAGCAGUGUCUUAGUACUCCUCAACUUCUGGGGUCACAUUCCAAUGAGCCUCUGUGAGUUGAAUAUAUCAUAAGUCAAAAUGCAUUUAAAAUUAAAAUUCAGAGCUGGGGAGAUGACUUGGUGCUAAAAGUGCUUGCUUGCUGCACAGGCAUGAGAAGUAGAGUUCAGAUCUCCACAAUCCUUAUAAAUGCUGGCUGAGUGUGUCAAUGGCUUGUAAUUCCAGUCUCUGAAUGGGGAGGGGGGAUCCUGAGAUCAAGCUGGCUCGUAUGACUAGCCAUGCUGGUGGGCUCUGGAUUUGAUUGAUAGAAGCAGUCUCAGUGAAUAAGGUGGAAGAGUCAUGAAGGUUGAUUCUUGACAUUAACCUUGAUCUCCACAUAUAUGUGCAUGAGUAUAUAUAUAUACACACACACAUAAAUGAAAAAACUUACAGUGUAUAAGUCUAGAUUCCCUAUAUUCCCUGUAGUUAGAAGGGUGAAGCAAGAGGAUGGGUUUUAGGACAGCCUGGGAUACAUGAGAUCCUGUCUC